UGGCUCAGAACGAACGCUGGCGGCGUGCCUAACACAUGCAAGUCGAACGUGAUUGGAAGCUUGCUUCCAUGAAAGUGGCGCACGGGUGAGUAACGCGUAGAUAAUCUGCCUGGUGAUUUGGGAUAACACUUCGAAAGGGGUGCUAAUACCGAAUAAGCCCACGGAGUCUUCGGAUUCUGCGGAAAAGGGGGGGACCUUCGGGCCUUCUGUCACCAGAUGAGUCUGCGUACCAUUAGCUAGUUGGUGGGGUAAAGGCCUACCAAGGCUACGAUGGUUAGCUGGUCUGAGAGGAUGAUCAGCCACACUGGAACUGAGACACGGUCCAGACUCCUACGGGAGGCAGCAGUGGGGAAUUUUGCGCAAUGGGGGAAACCCUGACGCAGCAACGCCGCGUGAGUGAUGAAGGCCUUCGGGUCGUAAAGCUCUGUCAGAGGGAAAGAAAUGUGGGUGGCUAAUAUCCAUACCACUUGACGGUACCCUCAAAGGAAGCACCGGCUAACUCCGUGCCAGCAGCCGCGGUAA
rnacentral:rRNA from 1 species